rnacentral:rRNA from 1 species
UACGGGGGGAGCAAGCGUUGUUCGGAUUUACUGGGCGUAAAGGGCGCGUAGGCGGCCACCGCAAGUCGGUUGUGAAAUCUCCGGGCUUAACCCGGAAAGGUCAAUCGAUACUGCGGGGCUAGAGUGCAGAAGGGGCAACUGGAAUUCUCGGUGUAGCGGUGAAAUGCGCAGAUAUCGGGAGGAACACCUAUUGCGAAGGCAGCUCGCUGGGACGUCACUGACGCUGAGAUGCGAAAGCGUGGGGAGCAAACAGG